UACGCAGGGUGCAAGCGUUGUUCGGAAUUACUGGGCGUAAAGGGCGCGUAGGCGGGCCCGUAUGUCGAUUGUGAAAGCCCUGGGCUUAACCCGGGAAUGGCAGUCGAAACUGCGGGUCUUGAGUGCCUGAGAGGAUGGCGGAAUUCCCGGUGUAGAAGUGAAAUUCGUAGAUAUCGGGAAGAACACCUGAGGCGAAGGCGGCUAUCUGGCGGUGCACUGACGCUGAGGCGCGAAAGCGUGGGGAGCAAACAGG
rnacentral:rRNA from 1 species